UGGGGAAUCUUGCGCAAUGCGCGAAAGCGUGACGCAGCAACGCCGCGUGCGGGAAGACGGCCCUCGGGUUGUAAACCGCUUUCAGUUGGGACGAAGCCUGUCUGGUGAAUAGCCAGUGCAGGUGACGGUACCUUCAGAAGAAGCUCCGGCUAACUACGUG
rnacentral:rRNA from 1 species